AAUGUUUAGAAUAAUGUGAAAUUCUGUUUAGCACAAAUCAGCUGCAAAGCAAAGAGGGGCUGAAGACUAGAGACGAAAAUGAGAAAUAAUCCGUUUAAAUGUAACCAUCAUUUACCAGGAGCUGAUCAAAUCAACACCAACAUGUCCUGCUGGUGACCGAGGGGAAGGUUAGGCCUUGGCACCAACCCAACCGCCCGCUGAUCUGCAGCAGAUUGAAUUAGAAACUCCGUCAGUGGGAGACUCCGACACUUCCUGCGCGCCACGCUGCGCCGCUGGAUUGGAUCGGCCUCAAAGGAAAUCAUCUCCAACGUCUGCAUCCACAGCAAGCCGCGUCAGGCCAACGCGCUCCGCCUGUCCGACACGCAGAUGGUUCAGGUUCCCUUAAAAUGAAACGCGGUGCAGCGCCGCAGGUGGCCCUUUGAUUAAUUGCACCUGAGGAUAAGCAGCCGAGCUGGAGGCUGAUGCUAACCGCAGGCGCCAUAUUGAGGUAAAGAGCCUAACGUCUUUAUGAAGAGCUAUGAGAGGAAAAAGCUAACAAGACUCCCAACAUUUGGACAUCACUGCUGACAGAAACCUGCCGUCUUGAAUGGUCUGUAGCUGCGAGGAAGCAAGAUGAAAACAAGAUGGCCACAGCUGGAGGAACGACUGAACAGCUGGGAACAUAAAGAACGUUCUGCUGGUGUUCUGACAGUCUGCGUCAGAUUUUCCUACUGCAGCACGUCCAUCAGUCGGUGCUGGAAACAGCUGGAACAUCUGCAGUGGACAGUGACGUUACGUCUCCAUGCUCCGGUAGUUGCCAAGGACUUGGAUAUAAAUGACUCUUCAGGUCUUUUUGGUGUUGCUGCUCCAUGCAAUGCGACCUCCUCUCUGUCACUCUGUCUUUACUGCAUGCGUCUCCGCUGUGCUACGCGCCGCUGCGCACUGUGCUGCCGAAUGCAGCCGUUCCUGACCAUCCUCGUUUAGAACAUGGAGUUUACUGAAAAGGAACUGAACACAAAGUGUCAGCAGUUCAUUUCAUUGACAUGGACGAGGUUUCCUCACACUUAAUGAGUUCUAAAUAAAUGUGACCUUUACUCCA